GAUGAACGCUAGCUACAGGCUUAACACAUGCAAGUCGAGGGGAAACGACAUCGAAAGCUUGCUUUUGAUGGGCGUCGACCGGCGCACGGGUGAGUAACGCGUAUCCAACCUGCCCAUCACUUGGGGAUAACCUUGCGAAAGUAAGACUAAUACCCAAUGAUAUCUCUAGAAGACAUCUGAAAGAGAUUAAAGAUUUAUCGGUGAUGGAUGGGGAUGCGUCUGAUUAGCUUGUUGGCGGGGUAACGGCCCACCAAGGCAACGAUCAGUAGGGGUUCUGAGAGGAAGGUCCCCCACAUUGGAACUGAGACACGGUCCAAACUCCUACGGGAGGCAGCAGUGAGGAAUAUUGGUCAAUGGGCGAGAGCCUGAACCAGCCAAGUAGCGUGCAGGAAGACGGCCCUAUGGGUUGUAAACUGCUUUUAUAAGGGAAUAAAGUGAGAGUCGUGACUCUGUUUGUAUGUACCUUAUGAAUAAGGACCGGCUAAUUCCGUG
rnacentral:rRNA from 1 species